AGACGAACCGUCCAAACGUUAUUCGGAAUCACUGGGCUUAAAGGGUGCGUAGGCGGCACGGCAAGUUGGGUGUGAUAGCCCUCGGCUCAACCGAGGAAUUGCGCCCAAAACUGCCGCGCUCGAGGGAGACAGAGGUGAGCGGAACUUAGGGUGGAGCGGUGGAAUGCGUUGAUAUCCUAAGGAACACCGGUGGCGAAAGCGGCUCACUGGGUCUCUUCUGACGCUGAGGCACGAAAGCUAGGGGAGCGAACGGGAUUAGAAACCCCAGUAGUCC
rnacentral:rRNA from 1 species